GUUUGAUUACAUACGGUGAUUCAGGUGCGUUGUGAUGGGUGUAAAGUAUGGGUUCACUCAGCGUGCGAUCAAAUAUCACAUAAGCAUUUUAAGGAUUUGGGGGAAACAGAUUACUACUGUCCCACAUGCAGAACAAAGUUUAACUUUGACCUAUCAGAUUCGGAAAAGCAAGACUCAAAAUCCAAACUUGGCAAAAACAAUUCCCCAAUGGUGCUUCCUGAUAAGGUUAUCGUUAUAUGCUCUGGAGUUGAAGGCAUAUAUUUUCCAAGCCUUCAUUUAGUCGUAUGUAAAUGUGGAUCUUGUGGACCUGAAAGGAAAGCACUUAGUGAAUGGGAAAGGCAUACUGGUUCAAAAGCAAAAAAUUGGAGGACUAGUGUUAAAGUGUAAAGCUCCAAGUUGCCUCUAGAAGAAUGGAUGAUGAAAUUAGCAGAGUUCCACGCAAAUGCUACUGCAGCAAAACCUCCUAAACGACCUUCUAUAAAGCAGA